rnacentral:lncRNA from 1 species
CAAGUGCUAUAGGUGCAUGAAGAGUGUUUCGAAGUGUGGAGAAAGACUUGUUGAAAUUAAGUCCCAAAUGGGCUAAGAACUCGGAAACAUUGCGUUGAACCACUAAAUGACUUAUAUAGUGUUAUUUGGGGUUAGAAUUUGUUAGAAUACAAUCAAGUUGAUUGAUUACAAGUGAUAGAGAUAGAUGAAAAGUGUUUAAAAGUGUGUAGGAAGACUUGCUGAAAUUUUGUCCAAAAUGGGCUAAAAACCCACAAUCAUUGCUUUGAAGAAUUAAAUGGCUUGUCUAAUGUUGUUUGGGGUUAUAAUAUGUUAGAAUACAAUAAAUUUGAUUAAUUACAAGUGCUAUAGGUGCAUGAAGAGUGUUUCGAAGUGUGGAGAAAGACUUGUUGAAAUUGGG